rnacentral:lncRNA from 1 species
GCAGUGCUGGUGAUCCGGCUCCAGCUGCUGCUGCUACUGCUGGCCAAGUGAGUGGCUCAGCAAUGUAUGACACUACAAAAACUGCAUUACAUCAGAGAUCUCCCAUUGCACCUGUAAAUGUACACUUGCCAGAAAAUAACCCUGGACAACAAUAUCCUACUUCUAAUGAACAGACUUCAGCUCUUCUGUUAUAGUGGCCUGCACUGCACUGAACUGAGCUCCAUUUUGUAAUUGACAGCAUGGAUCUGCUCUGGAGGUGAAGAAACACCAAGAAGGAUUGGUGGAUGCAGAACUCUAGGUCACUUGUUGAGAAGGUGCAAGGUAUUUUCUGAUUGAAACAGGACAUGGUAGAAAAAGAAAACAAGAUCUCCAGGUUUAGGUAGUUGAAGUUUGUUCUGGAGAGCUGAACAGUAUCCUUGCCUCUUCUACUGUCUUCCUGUGUGGUAAUGGGCAGACAUUUACC